rnacentral:lncRNA from 1 species
UUUUUUACUAGGUAAUUGGUAUAAAUACUGUAAAAAAAUCUCUCAAAUCGUCAAAUAAACGGCAAAACAACGGCACCCAAUGAAAAUAAAAACAAAGCGUGUACAAAUUAAUAAAAAAUAAAUAAAAUCUCCGAGCAGCUGUUCUAUAAUUCUAUGAACUACUUCUUGUUGUAAAGUAUCAAACGUGUCAGAUUAAAAUUAUCAUGAUUUCAAUCCUUGUUUCGGUAGGCGAG